CUCUGUGUGAUCCAGACUGGCUCCCAGACUCCCACAGCCUCUCUGCUGCUGCACGAUCACUUCGUUUGUUAUUCUCACUUCUUUGGUUCUUUUCUCUUUCAAACAUGGAGGAACGAGCUCUAUGAAAAUCCAUACAAGCUGUACACGGUCAGAAUGGGAAAAGGAAACAUUCACUGCCCAAGAUAUCGAUCAAAAUUAGAACAUCUGGGCUGAAUGCUUAAGCAGGGUGCUGUCCUGUGGCAUGGCUGAGCCAGAGUGACAUUGCCACCAUCCACAGAAACAAAACAUGAGUCAAGCACCAGAAGGUUCUGGAGAGGGAGCGUCAUGAUGCCCCCUGCAGCAGCAGCAGCCACCAGGUUCUGGAUGUUGGCUGUGGGCAGGGAGAGAACGAGGCCCUGUUGCCCACCCAGGUGUCCGCCUGCGUUGAAGGGGAUGAGGAUGGGCUGGUUCAUGCCUGGCGCUGCACCGGACAUCACACCGCCAACUGCAUUGGCCAGCUGCUGGGCUACCAGGAGAGACUACAGCGGAAACACAAAACACACAUACAUCGCAUUAUU